rnacentral:rRNA from 1 species
GACAGAGGGGGCGAGCGUUGUCCGGAGUCACUGGGCGUAAAGCGCGCGCAGGCGGCAACCUAAGUGUCGUGUGAAAGCCCCCGGCUCAACCGGGGGAGGCCAUGGCAAACUGGGUCGCUCGAGCUGCGGAGAGGCCCCUCGAAUUGCCGGUGUAGCGGUGAAAUGCGUAGAGAUCGGCAGGAAGACCAAGGGGGAAGGCAGGGGGCUGGCCGCAGGCUGAAGCUGAGGAGCGACAGCGUGGGGAGCAAACCGG